GACAGAGGUGCCAAGCGUUAGGCGGAAUCACUGGGCUUAAAGCGUGUGUAGGCGGAUUGGUAAGUACCUUGUGAAAUCCCACGGCUCAACCGUGGAACUGCUCGGUAUACUGCCUAUCUUGAGCCACUUAGGGGCUGUCGGAACAAACGGUGGAGCGGUGAAAUGCGUAGAUAUCUGGAGGAACACCGGUGGCGAAGGCGGCAUCCUGGACCGACACUGACACUGAGGAGCGAAAGCCAGGGGAGCAAACGGG
rnacentral:rRNA from 1 species